rnacentral:rRNA from 1 species
CCCUUAGAUGUUCUGGGCCGCACGCGCGCUACACUGACGAUGGCAACGAGUUUUUCCUUCGCCGAAAGGUGUGGGUAAUCUUUUGAAACAUCGUCGUGCUGGGGAUAGAUCAUUGCAAUUUUUGAUCUUGAACGAGGAAUUCCUAGUAAGCGCGAGUCAUCAGCUCGCGUUGAUUACGUCCCUGCCCUUUGUACACACCGCCCGUCGCUACUACCGAUUGAAUGGUUUAGUGAGGACUCCUGAUUGGCGCCGCCGCCCCGGCAACGGAGCAGCGGACUGCCGAAAAGUUGUUGAAACUUGAUCAUUUAGAGGAAGUAAAAGUCGUAACA